UGCUCAUUUGCACAGAGUUUAUCCAUGACAAAAUAUUUAUUUGACACUGACUAAAUUACAUUUUACAUAGUUGACUAGUAUGUACUUUUACUAUACUUUUACUAAACCUAACUGUAACAGACAACUUCUCAUUCUGAUGCAGUGUUCUGGCAAUUAGAGUAAUGGAGUACUAUAUUAAUUGUCUCGUACUUUACAGCCAUGCAAUUGUCAAAAUAUUGCAAGCCCACAUCUUCCACAAUCAGAAUACCUGUCAUAUGAAACACUGUAACUGAUAACUUGCAUCCAAUCAUUCCAUCUUUGUAUCAUUUUCUUUAUCGCUCGGUGAACCACAACCUUUGAAUCACAUAGCCAAGUUUAACCAUAUUUACAGGUAGUCGUAUCAAUCCAACAUACAAGCCUG
rnacentral:lncRNA from 1 species